rfam:Pteropus alecto contig31071, whole genome shotgun sequence.
GUGCUUACUUCGGCAGCAUAUAUACUAAAAGUAGAACAAUACAGAGAAGAUUAGAAUGUCCCUGCACAAGGGUGUCACACAAAUUCAUCAAGCAUUGUAUAUUUCU